rnacentral:rRNA from 1 species
UGGCGAACGGGUGAGUAACACGUGGGUAACCUGCCCAUCAGAAGGGGAUAACACUUGGAAACAGGUGCUAAUACCGUAUAACACUAUUUUCCGCAUGGAAGAAAGUUGAAAGGCGCUUUUGCGUCACUGAUGGAUGGACCCGCGGUGCAUUAGCUAGUUGGUGAGGUAACGGCUCACCAAGGCAACGAUGCAUAGCCGACCUGAGAGGGUGAUCGGCCACACUGGGACUGAGACACGGCCCAGACUCCUACGGGAGGCAGCAGUAGGGAAUCUUCGGCAAUGGACGAAAGUCUGACCGAGCAACGCCGCGUGAGUGAAGAAAGGUUUUUCGGAUCGUAAAAACUUCUGU